AAUGCUUUUACUUGUGUUUGCCGUGCAUAGUCUCUUACAGCUAACACUGGUCAGGUGAACCGUUUCCUCCAGGAUCACAGGUGUAAGGGGCGUGGCCCUGAGAACAAAGGGAAGAUACUUGUUUGGAGUGGGGGGGAAGGAAAACGCUUUUGGAAGUAGACGGAGAAGUUAUGUAGCCUUCAGUUGAGAAGGGGAAAAACUUUUUCGGUCCUUUUGAAAUUUGGACCUCGUCCAUAAUGUAACGAGAUUUAAGCAAGGAAUUCAGUCUGAUUUGAGGACAAUAACUAUAAAGCAGAGGACUGCAAAUCAAACCAAGGCCAGAUUACCAAUUCCGCAUCUGAGUUGGAAAGUGGAGCCCAUCUCACAGUACAGCUCAUACUGCUCCUGCAGGGAGGAAGAGGAGACACAGGUUGUUUAUAUGAUAGGAUCAUAGUUGAAAAGUUACGAGUCAAGUCCUAGAGGGUUUUAUUUAGUCAUUGCCAUUGGUCUACAGUGUAUAUUGUAGUAUAACAUGGGGGCACUGAUUGGCCUUAUGCUUCUUUUGCAGUGUGACUACUAGAGUUGUGU